rnacentral:tRNA from 1 species
GGGCGAUUAGCUCAGUUGGCUAGAGCACUACCUUGACAUGGUAGGGGUCACAGGUUCAAGUCCUGUAUCGCCCA